UACGUAGGUGGCAAGCGUUGUCCGGAUUUACUGGGCGUAAAGGGCGUGCAGGCGGUUUGUUAAGUGCAGGGUGAAAGCUCCCGGCUCAACUGGGAGAGGUCCUUGCAUACUGGCAAACUCGAGGGAGGCAGAGGAAAGUGGAAUUCCCGGUGUAGUGGUGAUAUGCGUAGAUAUCGGGAGGAACACCAAUGGCGAAGGCAGCUCGCUGGGACGUGACUGACGCUGAGACGCGAAAGCGUGGGGAGCAAACAGG
rnacentral:rRNA from 1 species